GAGGACAUAAAACAUUUACUGCAUUUAUGAAAUUAAUUUUCAUUCCAGUGGCCAACUCCGGCUUUCCUUGGGUUGCUGCUUUGGAGAAGGUGAUGUGUUUUCCAUAAUGCCAUCAUCCAUUGAAAUCCAUCUGUCUCCUUGUCCCUGCAGUGAGGCAGCUCUUUCAGGUUCAGCAGGGAAGCCAAAUUAAAUACUAACCUCCAUCUGUAAGGAGACGGAUGCAGGCUGGCAUCCUGUUCCUCCAGCUCCUAAGUGGAGGCCGCUGACGCUGUGGAGCCCCGGUUUGUUUGCGCUGCCCCAUGCUAGGAUUGCCUGAUCCAGUUACAAAGGGUGUGUACUGUUUGUUGCAACCCAUAAAGAUUGCUUUCAGGUUCUCUGAGGUUGUCCUCCUUUGGAAAAGACUCUAAUACAAAAUGGAUACAGAAAGAUGACUGAUUUUGUAUUUUAGAGGUUGAAGGUUUUGAAACAAACCAACAGCCGUGUAAUUUUUAUGAAGGUUUUAGAGUGGUAUUAGCAGGUCUGACCUAAGAAACAUGAUUGGCUAAGACUCCUCUGUGAUAUAUACAAGUUAUUUGCCAAAUCUAGGUAUGAAAUCAACUCUAGCUACAUAUAUCGGCUCUUUUGGGCUGUGUUGCUUUACUCAGCAUUUUUUUCUUAGGAUACGAGAAAGUUAUAUGAUGGAUGUGAACGCAGUUCUUAAGUUCCUCUUAGGGCUAAUGAAGUCAGAAGAGAGAGCUUCAAUACAGUUUCUAGGUUUCAGGUAGACAGGUGUUCUUAAGUCGUU
rnacentral:lncRNA from 1 species